rnacentral:rRNA from 1 species
UACGUAGGGUGCGAGCGUUAAUCGGAAUUACUGGGCGUAAAGCGUGCGCAGGCGGUUUUCCAAGACAGAUGUGAAAUCCCCGGGCUCAACCUGGGAAUGGCAGUUGUGACUGGAAGGCUAGAGUGUGGCAGAGGGGGGUAGAAUUCCACGUGUAGCAGUGAAAUGCGUAGAGAUGUGGAGGAAUACCGAUGGCGAAGGCAGCCUUCUGGGCCACCACUGACGCUCAUGCACGAAAGCGUGGGGAGCAAACAGG